UACGUAGGGGGGCUAGCGUUGUCCGGAUUUAUUGGGCGUAAAGAGCGUGUAGGCGGCCAGGUAGGUCUGCUGUGAAAACUCGAGGCUCAACCUCGAGACGUCGGCGGAAACCAUCUGGCUAGAGUCCGGAAGAGGAGAGUGGAAUUCCUGGUGUAGCGGUGAAAUGCGCAGAUAUCAGGAAGAACACCAAUGGCGAAAGCAGCUUUCUGGGACGGUACUGACGCUGAGACGCGAAAGCGUGGGGAGCGAACAGG
rnacentral:rRNA from 1 species